rnacentral:rRNA from 1 species
AGCCAGUCUCAUAGGUAUGAAACUCAUUUGAGCGAGAGUAGUACUAGGAUGGGUGACCUCCUGGGAAGUCCUCGUGAAAGGGUUU